rnacentral:rRNA from 1 species
GAUGAACGCUGGCGGCGUGCCUAAUACAUGCAAGUCGAGCGAACAGAUGAGAAGCUCGCUUCUCUGAUGUUAGCGGCGGACGGGUGAGUAACACGUGGGUAACCUACCUAUAAGACUGGGAUAACUCCGGGAAACCGGGGCUAAUACCGGAUAAUAUUUUGAACCGCAUGGUUCGAUAGUGAAAGACGGUUUCGGCUGUCACUUAUAGAUGGACCCGCGCCGUAUUAGAUAGUUGGUAAGGUAACGGCUUACCAAGCGACGAUACGUAGCCGACCUGAGAGGGUGAUCGGCCACACUGGAACUGAGACACGGUCAAGACUCCUACGGGAGGCAGCAGUAGGGAAUCGUCCGGAAAGGGCGAGAGCCUGACGGAGCAACGCCGCGUGAGUGAUGAAGGUCUUCGGAUCGUAAAACUCUGUUGUUAGGGAAGAACAAAUUUGUUAGUAACUGAACAAGUCUUGACGGUACCUAACCAGAAAGCCACGGCUAACUACGUGCCAGCCGCCGCGGUAA